UACGUAGGGUGCAAGCGUUGUCCGGAAUUAUUGGGCGUAAAGAGCUCGUAGGCGGUUCGUCACGUCGGCUGUGAAAUCCCGAGGCUCAACCUCGGGUCUGCAGUCGAUACGGGCGGACUUGAGUACUGCAGGGGAGACUGGAAUUCCUGGUGUAGCGGUGAAAUGCGCAGAUAUCAGGAGGAACACCGGUGGCGAAGGCGGGUCUCUGGACCGAUACUGACGCUGAGGCGCGAAAGCGUGGGGAGCAAACAGG
rnacentral:rRNA from 1 species